GACGAACGCUGGCGGCGUGCUUAACACAUGCAAGUCGAGCGGUAAGGCCCUUCGGGUACGACGAGCGGCGAACGGGUGAGUAACACGUGGGUGACCUGCCUUUAGCUCUGGGAUAAGCCUGGGAAACUGGGUCUAAUACCGGAUAUGACCUCAUGACGCAUGUUGUGGGGUGGAAAGCCUUGUGCGGCUAGAGAUGGGCCCGCGGCCUAUCAGCUUGUUGGGUGGGGUGAUGGCCACCAAGGCGACGACGGGUAGCCGGCCUGAGAGGGCGACCGGCCACACUGGGACUGAGACACGGCCCAGACUCCUACGGGAGGCAGCAGUGGGGAAUCUUGCGCAAUGGGCGAAAGCCUGACGCAGCGACGCCGCGUGAGGGAUGACGG
rnacentral:rRNA from 1 species